rnacentral:lncRNA from 1 species
GUGGUUUGGAACAGGGCAGGGAUGGAGGGAAGGUCCUUGUAUCUUAGACAUCAAAAUCCCAGGAAAAUAAUUAGGAGGUGUUUGGGAUUCUGCUGAAAACUCUGACAACAGGUCACUGUGAACACCAGACAGUCCAGGAAAUCCAAGAAGGCAGCUAACCAAAGGGACUUCAGUAUCUGGAAGACUGGACUGAGGUGGGAGGGUGCUUGACAGCGAUGGUCGCUGACCACACACCUCCUUGAAAGGUGUCGUCGCUCAUUACCAGCCAGUUUUCUUGGACCAGAAAUAUCUCCAAGAGCACCAGCAACCCCAGCUAUCUAGACCCGAAGUGGAUAUACUCAGAGGCAUCCUGGCCUACCCCACCCCUGACCCCAGAGAAGAUGCUGCUGCCCUCAGAAGACGCCAGAGCCAGCCACACUGCAAGUCUGGGAGGAUCGAGCAAGGCAGGCUGCUCAGUGAAGGCUUCCUCUCCUGUAGCAGGAAGAGCAUCGUUAAGAACAAGUAUGCAGGGCUGGACUACUCUGGAGAUGUAAUGACCAGAGCUGAGACCCCCGAGACCAGAGUGACUAUGAAGGACUGUCGUCACCUUGUUCCUGAACAUCUAAUGCCUCUCAGCUCCAGGAGGCCACUGAGGAGAAACCGAAGGCUAGUUUUCCUUGGAAGCCAGCAGCCUGUCCACCUGUUCCACUUCCCUGCCUCUUGCAGCCUCCGCUCAAACACUACCAUGGUUUGGGAGCACGGAAAAACUAGAAAAUACAGAAAUAUAUCAAGAAGAAAGAAAUUUAAAAAUCAACCUGAAUCCCACCAACCAGAGACAGCUAUUAAUGAUUGUGGUAUAUUUAUUGCCCAUGGCAUGGAUGGCACCGACAAUCGAGGCAGGCAGUGCUGGUGGAUACACCUAGGAGGUCCUGUUGGAAGAGGACCAUUCGUGUGCAGAAACGAGGAAAUAGACAUGUAUGAGCUGGAAGAAAAUCUUAUCCGUCUGAUUCAAUUCCCUCAUUUCACAGAAUGGAUGCAGAAUUUUUCAUCUAUGCUGCACCGUGAAAAAUGGAUGUGUUUGGCGCAGAAGUCAUUUGAACGUGAAACCCAGCCUCAGUGGAAAGACAACCUUCAGAAAAACUUUCCAAGUAACUUUUCAUUCGCACUUGCUUCCACCGGGGAAGGUCAGGCUCUUGUGAAAGAUGGAAAUUUCCUGCACAAACCUAGAUGCUGA